UGGUGCUUGCAUCAUGAUUUACAUUUGAGUGAGUGGCGAACUGGUGAGUAACACGUGGGAAACCUGCCCAGAAGCGGGGGAUAACACCUGGAAACAGAUGCUAAUACCGCAUAACAACUUGGACCGCAUGGUCCGAGCUUGAAAGAUGGCUUCGGCUAUCACUUUUGGAUGGUCCCGCGGCGUAUUAGCUAGAUGGUGGGGUAACGGCUCACCAUGGCAAUGAUACGUAGCCGACCUGAGAGGGUAAUCGGCCACAUUGGGACUGAGACACGGCCCAAACUCCUACGGGAGGCAGCAGUAGGGAAUCUUCCACAAUGGACGAAAGUCUGAUGGAGCAACGCCGCGUGAGUGAAGAAGGGUUUCGGCUCGUAAAACUCUGUUGUUAAAGAAGAACAUAUCUGAGAGUAACUGUUCAGGUAUUGACGGUAUUUAACCAGAAAGCCACGGCUAACUACGUGCCAGCAGCCGCGGUAAUACGUAGGUGGCAAGCGUUGUCCGGAUUUAUUGGGCGUAAAGCGAGCGCAGGCGGUUUUUUAAGUCUGAUGUGAAAGCCUUCGGCUCAACCGAAGAAGUGCAUCGGAAACUGGGAAACUUGAGUGCAGAAGAGGACAGUGGAACUCCAUGUGUAGCGGUGAAAUGCGUAGAUAUAUGGAAGAACACCAGUGGCGAAGGCGGCUGUCUGGUCUGUAACUGACGCUGAGGCUCGAAAGUAUGGGUAGCAAACAGGAUUAGAUACCCUGGUAGUCCAUACCGUAAACGAUGAAUGCUAAGUGUUGGAGGGUUUCCGCCCUUCAGUGCUGCAGCUAACGCAUUAAGCAUUCCGCCUGGGGAGUACGGCCGCAAGGCUGAAACUCAAAGGAAUUGACGGGGGCCCGCACAAGCGGUGGAGCAUGUGGUUUAAUUCGAAGCUACGCGAAGAACCUUACCAGGUCUUGACAUACUAUGCAAAUCUAAGAGAUUAGACGUUCCCUUCGGGGACAUGGAUACAGGUGGUGCAUGGUUGUCGUCAGCUCGUGUCGUGAGAUGUUGGGUUAAGUCCCGCAACGAGCGCAACCCUUAUUAUCAGUUGCCAGCAUUAAGUUGGGCACUCUGG
rnacentral:rRNA from 2 species